rnacentral:tRNA from 1 species
UUCAAUGUGGCAGAAAUAUGCCAUGAAUUUAAGAUUCAUUUAUAAAGACCAAUCUUUCAUUGAAA